AAAGUACAAGUUGUGAUGCAUCAAGUACAAGUCUUGUAGGUUUGGACAAUGGUAGAAGCUAAUAACAGAGUUGUUUUAACAGCUGUAAUACAUGGUCAAGCAUUGGAACUCUACAACUUUUCCCAUGCUUUUUGAUAUUGGAACCUGACAUCUCCUACAACACUCUCAACUAUCUUGGUAUUAUAUAUUCGUGUGAAGUUUCAAACACUCAACAGUAGAUAAAGAUUGUUCAGUUCUGAUGUAAUGUUUUCUUAUUAUAUAUUUAUAAUAUAUCGUU
rnacentral:lncRNA from 1 species